rnacentral:tRNA from 1 species
GGCGAGAUGGCAGAGCGGUUGAAUGCACUGGCUUCGAAACCCAGAAAUCGUUAAUUCGGUUCGUGAGUUCAAAUCUCACUCUCGCCACCA